AUUGAACGCUGGGCGGCAUGCCUUACACAUGCAAGUCGAACGGUAACGCGGGGCAACCUGGCGACGAGUGGCGAACGGGUGAGUAAUAUAUCGGAACGUGCCCAGUAGUGGGGGAUAGCCCGGCGAAAGCCGGAUUAAUACCGCAUACGACCUACGGGUGAAAGGCGGGGGAUCGCAAGACCUCGCGCUAUUGGAGCGGCCGAUAUCAGAUUAGGUAGUUGGUGGGGUAAAGCCUACCAAGCCUACGAUCUGUAGCUGGUCUGAGAGGACGACCAGCCACACUGGACUGAGACACGGCCCAGACUCCUACGGGAGGCAGCAGU
rnacentral:rRNA from 1 species